rnacentral:lncRNA from 1 species
GGGCCACCCAGAACCCCAUUGGGCUACCCAGAACCCUGUUAGGUCAGCUAGGUCCUCAUUGGGCCACCCAGAACCCCAUUGGGCCACCCAGAACCCCAUUGGGCCACCUAGAUCCGGGGUUGGGUCACCUGGAACUGGGGUUGGGACACCUGGAACUGGGAUUGGGACACCUGGAACUGGGAUUGGGACACCUGGAACUGGGAUUGGGACACCUGGAACUGGGAUUGGGACACCUGGAACUGGGAUUGGGUCACCCAUAACCCUUAGGGGCACCCAGAUCCUUUUGGGGGGCCACCUAGAACCCAAAUUGGGCCACCUCGAACCCAACUUGACCACCCAAAACCCCGUCCCCCCCCCCCCACCACCACCCCCAGCCCCAACGGGAGCCGCGCGGACCCCGGGGCCUGGAGGGCGGUGGUGGGCCGGCUCCGUCUCCAUGAGCCCAGUGGCCAGGAAGUCCCGGUGGCCGAGGUGGUGGUCCACGAGGACUACCGGCAGGUGGAAGGUGGCCACGACCUGGCGCUAGCCCGCUUGGAGACCCCGGUGGUCCUGGGCCCCCGGGUGGGCACCAUCUGCUUGCCCCAACCCCGCUACCCCUUCGCCUUCGGCACCCCCUGCUGGCUUACUGGGUGGGGCAACGUGGCCGAGAACGGUGAGCCGGGGGGGCUACUGGGGGG